GACGAACGCUGGCGGCGUGCUUAACACAUGCAAGUCGAACGAAGUGGCGAACGGGUGAGUAACGCGUAAUCACCCUGCCCUUCAGAGGGGGAAAACAGUUGGAAACGACUGCUAAUACCGCAUACUGAAGGCGGGGGUUGCGUCUGAUUAGCUAGUCGGAGGGGUAACGGCCCACCAAGGGGAUGAUCAGUAGCCGGUUUGAGGGGAAGAACGGCCACAGUGGGACGUAGACACGGGCCAGACUCCUACGGGAGGGAGCAGUGGGGAAUCUGUCGCAAUGGAGGAAAGUCUGACGGAGCAACGCCGCGGGAGUGAAGACGGCCUUCGGGUUGUAAAGCUCUGUUAAGCGGGACGCGGUACCGGAAGAGAAAGCCACGGCUAACUACGUGCCAGCAGCCGCGGUAAUUC
rnacentral:rRNA from 1 species